rnacentral:rRNA from 1 species
GAUGAACGCUGGCGGCGUGCCUAAUACAUGCAAGUCGAGCGAACAGACGAGGAGCUUGCUCCUCUGACGUUAGCGGCGGACGGGUGAGUAACACGUGGAUAACCUACCUAUAAGACUGGGAUAACUUCGGGAAACCGGAGCUAAUACCGGAUAAUAUAUUGAACCGCAUGGUUCAAUAGUGAAAGACGGUUUUGCUGUCACUUAUAGAUGGAUCCGCGCCGCAUUAGCUAGUUGGUAAGGUAACGGCUUACCAAGGCAACGAUGCGUAGCCGACCUGAGAGGGUGAUCGGCCACACUGGAACUGAGACACGGUCCAGACUACUACGGGAGGCAGCAGUAGGGAAUCUUCCGCAAUGGGCGAAAGCCUGACGGAGCAACGCCGCGUGAGUGAUGAAGGUCUUCGGAUCGUAAAACUCUGUUAUUAGGGAAGAACAAAUGUGUAAGUAACUAUGCACGUCUUGACGGUACCUAAUCAGAAAGCAACGGCUAACUACGUG